rnacentral:pre_miRNA from 1 species
UUCCACUAAAUUUGUAUGGAGUUGGAACGUUUGCCUACAUUUGCCGCUAGGGGCGCUGUUCUAAAUACAUACAAAUCUGAGUUA